rnacentral:rRNA from 1 species
GACGAACGCUGGCGGCGUGCUUAACACAUGCAAGUCGAACGGAAAGGCCCUGCUUUUGUGGGGUGCUCGAGUGGCGAACGGGUGAGUAACACGUGAGUAACCUUCCCUUGACUUUGGGAUAACUUCAUGAAACUGGGGCUAAUACCGGAUAGGAGCUCCUGCUGCAUGGUGGGGGUUGGAAAGUUUCGGCGGUUGGGGAUGGACUCGCGGCUUAUCAGCUUGUUGGUGGGGUAGUGGCUUACCAAGGCUUUGACGGGUAGCCGGCCUGAGAGGGUGACCGGACACAUUGGGAUUGAGAUACGGCACAGACUCCUACGGGAGGCAGCAGUGGGGAAUAUUGCACAAUGGGCGGAAGCCUGAUGCAGCAACGCCGCGUGCGGGAUGACGGCAUUCGGGUUGUAAACCGCUUUCGCCGGUGACGAAGCGUGAGUGACGGUAAUGGGUAAAGAAGCACCGGCUAACUACGUG